CCCUUAGACGUUCUGGGCCGCACGCGCGCUACACUGACGAAGGCAACGAGCUUUCCUUUACCGAAAGGUACGGGUAAUCUUUUGAAACUUCGUCGUGCUGGGGAUAGAUCCUUGCAAUUAUUGAUCUUAAACGAGGAAUUCCUAGUAAGCGCAAGUCAUCAACUUGCGUUGAUUACGUCCCUACCCUUUGUACACACCGCCCGUCGCUACUACCGAUUGAAUGGUUUAGUGAGGCCUUCGGAUCCGCGACUCGUUUUGUGGAGAAGUUGGACAAACUCAGUCAUUUAGAGGAAGUAAAAGUCGUAACA
rnacentral:rRNA from 1 species